GUAGCUACAGCCCGAGCGGCAGGAAGAGGCGGGGCCGGCGGGCAGGGGGCGCGGCCGGGCCGCCACCGCCUCUCGCCGGGCCGCGGGGUCACCUCUGCGGCCGCCCCCCGCCCGGCCCGGCCCGGCCCAGCGUUCCUCGGCGCGGACCUCGAGCGUACCGAGGAAACGGAGCUUAGCUGGCUGCAGUGCCUUGAUCCACUUGGGAAACUAGAGUGAAUAGCAGUAUAAUGGAACAGGCGUAAUGGUGCCAACAGUCUUCUUUAACUAGCGUCUUGUUUCCAAAAGUAACUGCCAGCGGGUACCAAGGAAACAUGUGAGAACUCUAUAAGCAUAUAUAAUAUUUUCCCAGCUAGUGUCUCCCAGCUUCCCAGCUUCAGACCAGAUGACAUCCUCAGCUGAAUGCUUUGGAGUUCUCCCCACUCCCCUCCCCGCCCCCCAGUUUUUUUACCUUCCCUCUACCGUUAAUUUCCCUGGCCUCUGUGAAUACACAUCAACUCCAGCCUUUGGCAAGGAGUACCACAGGUGUGCUGCCAUUUUUAGGAAGCAUCCUCUUGGCCUGUGUUGAAGUUGAAGCCCUUUAGCUCCAGUUGCAGCCACCCUUGCUCUUGUAUGAGAAGAGAGAGCGAACCAUUGGUUCCAGCGCGUGCUGUCUGCCCUGACUGUCCUCCUCCAUACAAGCCUCUACGCAGGCUGUUCAGAGGAGAGCCUUUUCAGGUCUCCCAGACCACUGUGUUACUCACCUGCUAAAGGAUCUUGUUGGCCUUUGGGAGGAAGGUGAUACUGAGUGAUCGCAGCGUGACUGGAUGCUGCAGGGAACAGGUCUGCCUGUGGUGAGCUGCCUCACAGAAGUCCUUGCAUUGUUUCCUCUUCUGUCUGCCAGGGACAGGUUUGAUAGAUUUUUCUCAUAUGUAAUAUGAUCAUUUUAAAUAAUUGCUUUUAUGUAACAAUAGAUGCCCAUCUACAUCUUGCUUCAUUUUAGAGAGUAUCUGAUACAAAGCCUUUUUUUUUUUUCUUAAUACGCACUUUCAACAAUAUUUUUCAUUUAACAGUCAUAACUUUUUGGUUAGACAAGAAACCUGUUUAAUGGGCUUGCUAAUUUGAGACUAGCUAGGAUAAAACUGAAGAUACCGUCCAAUAACCUCUGUAAAUGUUUGCUUCCUAUAUUUCUCAGGAAGCGUCACAAACCAAUUAUUUCAGUUUCCAUAGUGAGACGGUCUUGAUGUCUUUGCCAUUCAACACAUACCCUGUUAAGAGUUGUCAUUAACUCUGUUGUCUCCUUUGUUCUGUACAAUGCCGAGCACUUUGACAGAGUCCAAAUCAAUGCCAAGUAACAAUGGAUGUUUUUUAGCCUUAAUUCCAGGUUUAGCUAUCAUGGAUGAAACUGCCAACAGAUCAGAAGAAUGUAAGACCUUUUUCUUUCCCUAGUGGUUUCAGAAGGCUUAGUGCCUGUGCUAUCGAGACUAGCUUUUAGGAUUUAGUCCAGAAACCUCUAUGUCCUACUAUAAAACAUGAUUUUCUGAAGGUAGGAAAGGAAUUCCUUAAUGCCUGAAAAAAACAGUUAACAUCA